GUGGUAUGAGUAUGAUGGCUAGAUGGCUCAUUUAUUUGAUUGUGUUCUCUCUAUUUUUUUAUUGAGACAAGGCUAGCAUUUUUCUCUCUUUCUUUUUUCAAGGACUUGAUGAUGUCCUUCCUAACACGGUGAUUAUUUUUUUAUAGCCUUUGCUUUGUGUCUCAUAUAACAUUUAGCUAUUAGAGAGGGAUUCUACACUUAGAGCAUGGAGCAUCUAUAUUUGGU
rnacentral:lncRNA from 1 species